ensembl:lncRNA
CUGGGGUGGAGCUAGGUCUUCUGAGGUGAAGCCAGAGCUCCUGCGGGUAGAGCCAGAGCUCCUGAGGGAAGCACCACACUUUCUAGAGGCAGUGCCCUGUACCCUAGGGCGGAGCCAGUGGAGGGGCGCCAGGCCUGGGGGCGGAGCCAGGUCAUGGCCUGGCUGGAGAAGGCAGACACAAAUGUGCCCGCCUUCAUAGCCCUUUCGCUGCUCAGGCCUGCUUUUCACGGGGCUGCCUCUGUGUCUCCAUCACAGUCUUAACCAUCUGGCCAGCCAGCACUUAAGAGAUCACGGCCCAAGCAAGUGCCUGGAGGGACUGGAGAAACAGCCUGGGCUCCAUCCCUGGGCGUCUGGUGACGUCACCCCAAGUCUCUGCACCCAGUGAAGGAUGCAGGCACGGCCCUGAGGGGCUGCGCCCCACCUGGGGGAGUCUGAGCUCCCGCACGGGGAGAAUGCACGGAACAGCGUGGUCCCCGCUGCCUCUGGGUGGAAUAGAACAACCUCUGAUCGGGGAGCGUGUCUGUGCCUCCGUGUCUCUGGGGAGACCUCGGGAGCCGGGGCAGCUGCUUGCCGCGGGGGGACCUGUCUGGAAGCCACAGAGCUCUCCCUCUCAUCUGGAGAAUGUGCACGGCCUCGGCUCCGCUCGGAUCCCCCAUGGAAGAAGGAAGCAGGCACGACAUGGAGGGAGGAGGCUCAAGGCAGCGUGGGCUCCUCUGUUCCUGCCAGCAGAGGUGGGGCCAUGCCAGGUGACAGGUCCAGUAAAUUCAUUCCUGGAUGUACCCCCGAGAGAGAUGAGGAUCCCAGAAGCACCUCUGAGCGAUGCUAUCAGCUUUCUUCACAAUAACCGCCAGUAGGAAGCAACACAGCUUCGUAUGACCAGGAGCGCAGAACAGGGGGCGUAAGUUCCUGCGAUUAGAUAAUAAUAGCAGGGAAAAGAGCAACACGCCGUUGGACGUCACAAAACAGGUGAAUCUGAGACACGACAUGGAUGGAAAAGGCCGUGCACAGACGCGACUCCAUUCGCACGAAGUUCAAGGGCCAGGCAAACUAAUUUCUGGCGAUGCGGGUCAGAAUAGCUGUUCCCUACGGUGAGGGGGGGACACGGGGUGGGAGGGGCUCGGG